AUAACCGUGCCCGUGCCAUCGAUAUCGAAAAAAAAAUUGCAGUUAUCCUGUUUACUUUUAGGUCUACACACAAGUCUAUGCAGCGAGAGAUGUUUGUUAUUUUUUUUUUUAAUUCCGUAUAAUAUAUUUAUCAAAAACAUAAUAUAAACUACAUUAAUUGUUUUAUAAUGACGUACCUAUAGGUACUCUUAUUAUACUGCCUAUACACGUAAUAAUAAUAAUUUUGUUAUACUCUCUGUGCGUAUAAUAUAAUCACACCGAAACAAAUGUAUUUUUCACUGUUACUCGAUACGAACGGUUUAAGUGCGAGGAUGCUGGGUAUAGAUGUACUAUAGUGUAUAAUACUUACACUUAUUAAUUUUAUGGUAAAUUCGCGUUGUUUUUCGAAAAGUUAUCGUACCGUGCUAUUUGUAUUUUAUUUAAGUGCUUAAACUAGGUACUGUUACUGAAAAUUCAAUUUGGUUUUCGUUUGCAGCAACCGCUGGAUGUGACCAACCAUUCCGUGGCGAGAGGAGUGGUGACGUUCUUCACGUUACCUCCUGGCGAUUACAUUGUCGUCCGGCAAACGAACGUGACCAACUGCGACGCCAAAUUUUUACUGCGAAUAUUGACAGACGAACAGAGUAACAUAUGGGAGGUGAACGACAAUAACAUGGUGUUCAAAAAUAUCUCCGCCAAGUUUCUGGAAGACACUGUGAUAUUAACGGAAAGUCACUCUUAACUACUAAGCUCAUAGUCAAAUAUCCCCCGGAACUGGACAUGACCCAGUUGCAAGAGAUUCUGCGCGCGCACUGGAAGGCGUAUCUGGCAGAGAAACCCAGCCGGAGCUCUGCAAGAGCCUGAUAAUGUUGAGAAACGUCAACAUUAGUGGUCGUAUCAACAUGCUGGACAUACCCAUGCUGAUGCACAUGUUGCAGUUCUGGAAGAUAGCAUUCCAAAAGUUCGAAAAGGGUGUGAACCCCACAAAGACGUCAAGUUACAACCUUAGACCUCUGUUUGGACCUCUACUCAUGAUUUCGGGCCCAUCGACACGUACCAAAGAUGAAAGAUAGUGCCAGUCAUUAAGUGAUAUCAUAUUACGUUAAAGCCACAUAAUACGUCCAACCCGUACGGUUCUAAUUAUUAUUAUUAUUAUAUUAUUAUUAUUAUUAUUAUAAUCAUUAAUAUUUUUGAUUUCUAGUUUUUAUAUAAUCAUAAUCAAAUCAGGCAUUAUAACACGUAGUAAUUUUUAAUAUAGGUACCUAUUCCACCUGUUUCAUAUAUUAUCUUAUAAUGUAUAUUUGUUAUUUUAUUUAAACGAUGUUUGUACAAUUGUACGCGUUAUCGAAUCGAUAACCCCA